AGAGUUUGAUCCUGGCUCAGGACGAACGCUGGCGGCGUGCUUAACACAUGCAAGUCGAACGGGGAUUACCGAGCGGAAGGUUUCGGCCGGAAGGUUGGUAAUUCGAGUGGCGGACGGGUGAGUAACGCGUGAACAAUCUGUCCCAGACAGGGGGAUAACACUUGGAAACAGGUGCUAAUACCGCAUAAGACCACGGAUUCGCAUGGAUCAGGGUAAAAGGAGUAAUCCAGUUUGGGGUGAGUUCGCGUCCGAUUAGAUAGUUGGUGAGGUAACGGCCCACCAAGUCGACGAUCGGUAGCCGAUCUGAGAGGAUGACCGGCCACAUUGGAACUGAGAGACGGUCCAAACUCCUACGGGAGGCAGCAGUGGGGAAUAUUGGGCAAUGGGCGAAAGCCUGACCCAGCAACGCCGCGUGAGUGAAGAAGGCCUUCGGGUUGUAAAGCUCUGUUAUGCGAGAAGAAGGACGUGACGGUAUCGCAUAAGGAAGCCCCGGCUAACUACGUGCC
rnacentral:rRNA from 1 species